GUAGGGUGCGAGCGUUAAUCGGAAUUACUGGGCGUAAAGCGUGCGCAGGCGGCGGCACAAGUCAGGUGUGAAAUCCCCGGGCUUAACCUGGGAAUUGCGCUUGAAACUAGGUCGCUAGAGUGUGGCAGAGGGGGGUGGAAUUCCACGUGUAGCAGUGAAAUGCGUAGAGAUGUGGAGGAACACCGAUGGCGAAGGCAGCCCCCUGGGUCAACACUGACGCUCAGGCACGAAAGCGUGGGGAGCAAACAGGAUUAGAUACCCUGGUAGUCCACGCCCUAAACGAUGUCGACUAGGUGUUGGGGAAGGAGACUUCCUUAGUACCGCAGCUAACGCGUGAAGUCGACCGCCUGGGGAGUACGG
rnacentral:rRNA from 1 species